GAUGAACGCUGGCGGCGUGCUUAACACAUGCAAGUCGAACGGGAAACCUUUUAUUGAAGCUUCGGCAGAUUUAGCUGGUUUCUAGUGGCGGACGGGUGAGUAACGCGUGGGUAACCUGCCUUAUACAGGGGGAUAACAGUCAGAAAUGGCUGCUAAUACCGCAUAAGCGCACACAGCUGCAUGGCGCAGUGUGAAAAACUCCGGUGGUAUAAGACGGACCCGCGUUGGAUUAGCUGGAUGGUGGGGUAAGGGCCCACCAAGGCGACGAUCCAUAGCCGGCCUGAGAGGGUGAACGGCCACAUUGGGACUGAGACACGGCCCAGACUCCUACGGGAGGCAGCAGUGGGGAAUAUUGCACAAUCGGGGAGACCCUGAUGCAGCGACGCCGCGUGAAGGAAGAAGUAUCUCGGUAUGUGAACUUCUAUCAGCAGGGAAGAUAAUGACGGUACCUGACUAAGAAGCCCCGGCUAACUACGUG
rnacentral:rRNA from 1 species